rnacentral:rRNA from 1 species
AUGAGCUUUGACUCCCCUUUCGUGGAUGAUUCAUCGUCGGACGAGAAAUUUGAUUUGCAUGAAGAAGAGGAGAUUGGUAUGCUAGUGGCCAUGCACAAGAGGAAGAAACCGAAGCACAGUGGUUCCGUUUAUGGUCGUGCGUUCAUUAGGAGAGAACGGAUUGAUGCGCACAAACGGUUGGUGUGCAACUACUUUGCAUCAUCACCUGUUUUUUCGGAGAAUUACUUUCGACGUCGUUUCAGAAUGUCGAAAGACUUGUUCUUCCGCAUUUGCAAUUCCGUGAAGCAGCAUAAUCCAGUCUUCGAGCAGAGAAGGAACUGUGCCGGGUUGCUUGGCCAUAGCAUUGAGCGGAAGGUCACUGCCGCUUUGCGCAUGAUGGCAUAUGGUGUUCCGGCAGAUUACAUUGAUGACAACUUGGCGAUGGCAGAGAGCACUUCUAUCUUCUAUGUCAAGCAAUUCGCAAUAGCUAUGGUAGAAGUGUUCGGUCCACAAUACUUGCAAGCACCCAAUGCUCAGGAAACUCAGAGACUUUUGGAGAUGAACAAAGCUCGAGGGUUUCCAGCAAAUGGAGAAGCACCACAGGUGACCUUCGAAGCAAAUGGUCGCACCUACAACUAUGGGUACUAUCUUGCAGAUGGGAUCUACCCGAGGUGGAGUACAUUCGUCAAGCCGGUUGCAAAACCUGAAGGUAAAAAAGAACUUGUUUUUCAUAAUGCACAAGCGGCGGCUAGAAAAGAUGUUGAGAGGGCAUUUGGUAUUUUACAAUCCCAAUUUGCUAUUGUGCGAGGACCAUCUAGAUUUUGGGAUCAAAAUAUCCUUUGGUACAUCAUGACCGCUUGCGUGAUCAUGCAUAACAUGAUCAUUGAGAACGAGCGUGGAAAACAUUUAGAUUACAACUUCUAUCAUUUGAUGGGCAUUCCUGUUAACCCCAUGCGAAAAAGAACAUCGCAUCAGACGUUCCAUGAAGGUGUACAGCGAGAUUAG